rnacentral:lncRNA from 1 species
GAGAAAUCCAUGAGGAUCUAACAGAUGGGAGACAGGACUUGUGGAAGAUCUCUGUACAAGGAUGGCAACAGGAGACUAGUUAGAACACCCCACAGCAUCUCACAUUAUGUGUGUACAACAAUACAUCGUCUCAUUAAGUGAUUUGAGGAGAACAUAAUGAGCAUCGUUGGAAUGUUUGUCUACCACACUUGGUUUAUUCUAAAAGUGCACACUGUGAAGCUGAAAAUACUUUUCUGGGAGAUUACCUUCACUUUUUCCCUUUGCUUCAACUGUCGUCUGCCUCAAAUACAGUAAGUGACAUUAUUUCAUACUCUUUCAUGCAGGGAUGCACUUAAUAGGCUCACAGGAAAAGUGAUCAUUAGAUGACUGACUGUAGCUUGAUUGCCUCUGGAUAACUCUCACAGGUUUAUUUCUUCAUUUUAGCAAGGAAUGGGAGCUACCAUACCUCACACUGCAGAUUUAUGAAUCCAACUUCCACCGGUUUCGGAAAAUAUCCAUGUAGCAAUAAAAUGGCUGGUGCUUGCA